UAAAUGGAGGGGAAGAUACUUCCAGUUGAGACAGUGUGUCCGAGUGGUUAAGGAGUCAGACUAGAAAUCUGAUAGGCUCUGC